rnacentral:rRNA from 1 species
CCUACGGGAGGCAGCAGUGAGGAAUAUUGGUCAAUGGCCGCAGGGCUGAACCAGCCAAGUCGCGUGAGGGAUGACGGUCCUAUGGAUUGUAAACCUCUUUUGUCAGGGAGCAAAGGGCGCCACGUGUGGCGCUUUGCGAGUACCUGAAGAAAAAGCAUCGGCUAACUCCGUGCCAGCAGCCGCGGUAAUACGGAGGAUGCGAGCGUUAUCCGGAUUUAUUGGGUUUAAAGGGUGCGCAGGCGGAAUGUCAAGUCAGCGGUAAAAUCGCGGGGCCCAACCUCGCUCCGCCGUUGAAACUGGCGUUU